rnacentral:rRNA from 1 species
UGGUGGGGUGACUUGUCUGCCUAAUCGCGAUAACGAACGAGACCUUAACCUGCUAAAUAGCCCGUAUUGCUUUGGCAGUACGCUGGCUUCUUAGAGGGACUAUCGGCGCAAGCCGAUGGAAGUUUGAGGCAAUAACA